rnacentral:lncRNA from 1 species
AACCUGUACCAAUAUCAAACUGAAACUCGACGUUUAGGCAAAGUAUUGAAGCCCUUUCCGGCUUUAGAAAGCCAGAUUUGUUUAAAAUUUUCUACGAGAAAUCUUCAAUCACCAAGGCAUUUCUUUCAGUUUCCGUUGUACCAAGUAAGUCACAGAAAAGCAUCAAAAACAUUUGCGACGAAGAAAACUCAAGAAUAGAUGUAGCAUCGUGCACAUUAAAAGGAACACUUUCCUCCCAAUGGUUAGCUAGAUCCACCUCUGGUUGACCAAUUUGAUCCAAAAACGAAUGUGUCAUGAGAAUCCUCUCAAAAAACUUAUGAAAAAUAUUAUGCGACUAGAUCGUAAUGAAAUAAACUUCGGUAACACUCCAUUAGUAACUCCAAGCAAUUUUCACCUAAGAUCAAAAUCACAGCAGAAACGUUUCUUGUAAAACCCGCAGAAACAACGCUACUUUGACAUAUGUAUACGUAUCACCGAUCUACAACCUUCGUAAAACUGGUCCCCAUUACUUAUGCGAAAAAUCCUUCGUACGAUCAGACCAACUCAUACGAAGAAACUUUCUAAAGUUAACAUAACAUGCCUUAUGAAGAAGUAUGUCUUGUAUAGCAAACCUCUUGGGCUUCGUCUUCCUCAGACAAAAAGACUUGAUUGUCAUAAGACUAUAGGUCACAUUAUACAAAAUAUUCGUCGUAUAACUGAAACCUAGAGCGGAAAAUCGUUUUCUACGACUAUCGGCCAUAUUAGCACGGAUAACUCCGACAAACUUGGCCUAUCAAUCUCGACAAGCGCUUUUUGGCCAUCAGUCAAUUACACCUUCCACUAAAGGACCAAACAAAUAUUUGCCACCAUCUUUAAAGGACGAU